CAGCCACACAAUGUACAUAACUCUGAGGCUCUCCUUUUGCAGCUAGUUUGCCCUGGCCAGUGUCUCCGGCAUGACGGUUGUUUCAAUCAUUAUCUAUCCUGGCCGGCCACGGCUUUGCCAGGGAACCUGUUUUUUUUGGUUUUUAUUUUCUGCUGAUUUUAUUUAUUUUUGGCCGCCUCAGCAGCGGCAGCAGCAGGAUGUCUUUCAUGAUCAGGCUUGCCGAGAGAGAGAGAGGCCAGGGGAGAUCUCGCCAAAACAAAAGGAAGCUGUGCUAUUGACGGGUCUGAAAUGUGCAGACCGCUGCAUAAUGCCAGCUCGCUGGAGUACGCAGGGUGUUUUUGUUUUUUUUCCAGAAGUAGGGCAUGGCUGUAAUUCAACCUGUCACCCAACCCCAAAAAAAGAGAGAAGGGGGGGCAUAAUGAAAAGACUGCUCUUUCUUUCUUUCUUUUUUCAAAACACAUUGGCCUUUUCUUUCUAGGCGGGGCACUGAAGGGUUAAGCACGGGCAGGGGGUGGUGGAACUGGUGGGUUGAUGUUACGAGAUACCCAGACCCGGCUGGCACUCUGGCUCCUUGGGCACAUGAGAAUUCAUCCCGCAUGCCUCCUGCCAUCCGGUUUCUCUCUGCUCAGAACCUACACCCACGACCCCUGCCAGAUCUUCACAUUCAGCGAUUUCUUUCUCAGGUUUCCGCGAGCCACUGACAGCCCGAGCUAUUUUUUUCCGGGGGGGGGGACCUUUUCUCUCCUGACUGCGGAUGCAGCUGAAGGAAAACGCAGCCGGCAUGCUAAAGAACUGCAGCUAUCUGCCAUGCACCUUGUGCUCUUUCCUCUUCAUGUCCCCGUUCUCCUGCACCGACCCCAUCAAGGACAACCUCUCCUGCAGGCAGAACCCCCAGAGCCUGGCCCGUGGGACCGAGGGCACCCAGACCCGGAUCGCCUGCCAACCAAAGCACGGACAGAUAUGUCGGCAUGGCAGACAGCUCCUAGUCCCCAGUCUCCAUUUUCAUCCUCACUGUCAUCUGCUCAUGUUAAGUCAUGCCCUAAGAUGCGCCAUCCCUUUAUCCAUUCGGGGAGAUGGUGGUGCACAUUGCCGACAUGCAGCGGGUCCCGGCCUCUCCAGGAAAAGCAUGAUGUGCUUUCUUCUUCUCAUUGUCGUCAUGGCUUAUAAAUAAAGGGUCGCGCUUUGGCCGGCCUGAAUCGCUUAAAUUUUUUCUCCCUCUCCUGCAUGCGUUCAUUUGAAAAGGUGGCCCCGGAGGCGAACAGCCGUCUUUGGAUUUUCAGGGGAGUCGGGCUGUUGUUUGGCUGCCCACGUUGCCUAAGGACUUUGCACAAGCUUCUGUGCAAGCGCCAUGUGCCACCCAGAAUGUUUUCCAAAGGGCGUUUCAAGUCACGCCAAACGCGGCUUUUUCCACACCGUGCUCCAUGGCAUGCCCGGGGCCGCCCUCCGGUGCGCUGCUCCAGCUGCUCCUGGUUCUUUGCUGUGGGUUCCUGUGUGACACCCAAAUGUACACACGUGUCCUGCUCAUCCACGCCACGCUCGCCGUUUGUAUUUUUUAUAGGCGAACUAUUUUAUAUUUCUAGAUCCCGGUGGUUCUGUGCUGCCACAUGGUUUCCAGUCUAUGGGGACCCGACAAAUGAAUGGCCCUCCGGCAAUCUUGUCAUUAACAGCCUUCCUUGGCACUUGCAAACUCGAUGCUGUGGCUUCCUUUAUUGAUUCAGUCCAUCUCAUAUUGGGGGGACUU
ensembl:lncRNA